AGGUGACAACUGAAAAUACCGCCUUUUAAAUUUCGAUUUUAUUUCCAUCAUUAAUAAGGCAAUUUGUCAGAUACUAGCUUUUCCUUUGAAGUGUAUAUUCCUAGUCUAAUUUUCUUCUGAAGAGCUGAUGGAUCUUAUCAGUUGAUACUUUUAAGUUCCCUUUUAAAGAAAUCAGCCCGUCAUAUGUCACAGCUCUGCCCAGCGACUUGUCUCAAAUUCCUACCGUGACAUCCCAUUCUCAAGGAGCUCCUGCUUGGUCAAGACCGUAACAUAAAACACAGCAAACAGCAGACUUGCAUGCUAAUGACUGCUGGUGACAAGGACUCCUUGAAUGUCACUGCUCAGUGUCCUCCUGCUGCCCAUUCUUCUCACAAGAGUGGCUUCCUUCAGAGGGCUGAUAUUCCCCUAAGAACGAGCUCCCUUCCUGGUAUCGGUAACCCCCAAAGUCUCAACAACGUCUACGCUACACUCCUUAUGCCUUCCUUUGCACUACCCCACACCUCCAAUCCAAGAGAAUUAUGCAAACAAGGCAGUGGCGUUUUAUAAAUCCUCAGGAGCAAGUUUGAUUUUUUACCCCUCGAUUCCAAACCCCACUGUAACGAAUGUAUUCGUUUUCAGAGCAGGAUGUCACUGUCCGAAUUAGCGUGAAGAAAAUGUAAUGGCUCUGCCUGCAAGACUGAAAAACACCGAGUGUGUGUUCUACUGCCGCGAUGACCCAAUCCACACCAACAUCUGUUCCGUAGAGAUGAACUCCUCCAGAUGUGAACUGGCAGGCCAGCCCCGCAGGGCUGCUACCCAGGCUUGCGCAGAGGGAUAUGGAUGCUUACCUCUGUGUCCACAUUCAAGAAAAAUUUGGCUGUCCUCCCAGUGAUUAUUCCAGUACGGAAGGAACCCUUUAAUAUUCACACUAGUGGCAUAGGCGUAUUGUGUGUCUCAGAUGCCGGGGAGCUUCAGAACAAAUCAAAGUAACGAUGAUAGAAGAAGAACAUCCAAUGACUCUGGUCCUGACAAGGACGGUAACGCCUCUGCCUGGCCUGCACAGCUGUUGCUUCAAGGCUGAGGAGUUCCCAGACUCGGGGUAAAUGCGAGACGGACUUCAGAAUUCAGCUCCGAAGGGUUCCUGAGGCAGAACUCAUUGUGCAAUGUUAAUUUUUCAAGUUAAAAGUUAUGGCCAUUUGAAAAUGACUAUCCUUCCAAACAGGAAAGAAAACCAGUGUUCAGAUUCUAAAAAUGUGUGCCUCAGUCACGGGAACACAUGCCAGUUCCGUACAAAAUGCCUUGAAGCCCUUGACCUAAUGAGGUUACUGACAAGGAUAUGAAUGGCCAGAACAGAAAAUGAAACUUGCUGAGAAUUUUCUUCAUGAACAACCAUAUUUCUCCUGUCAUUUAACCAAUUUUCAUCCUCAAAAUUACAACGUGGACGGCAAAUCUUCAAGGCUAAUGCUCCAUAUGACAGACUAAGUGCUAUUUAGGAAGUAAUAAUAUAUGUGCCAAACUGCUUUGGGGGAAACAUGAGACCACGUGACGGACGCUUCAGGUAGGCAGAGGUCAUGGGAGGUUCUAAAAAUGACACUCAGGAAAGUGAACUGCCAAACAGCAUUCCACAUCCAAUUAGUGGAAGUGCAUCACUGUCGGCGGGCUCCACCGACGGAAGAGUCCUUCUGGCCUGAGGCUUCCCAGCACACACUCGGUUAACUGACCUCCAGUGCAUGCUGCUAGCAUUCCAUGAAAAUCGAUGCUGUUGGUUCAAAUCCAGGCUUAGAGGGUGGUAGCUGGGAGCUGGGAGGGCUGCUUGUGUGCAUCCCAUGUACCAGGAGGAAUGUUCGGAAUUCCGAA